AGCAUACAAGCAUGAAAGGGAGGGAAAGAGGGAGGGUAAGAGAGGCAGAGAGAGAGAGAGAGAGAGAAGGUAUUAGAAAGGUUCAAAUGAUACACUGUUUAGGUAUUUGUGUAUAUAGGAGUAUGAGUAAGAAUAUUAGAUAGGGGAAGCGUAUACUGUAUAUGCACAUGUGUGUGAGUGUGCAAGUUCAUGCUUGUGUAUGCACUUGUGCUUGUACGUGAGUGAUUGUCUUUCUGUUAAGAGAGAGAUAGAGUGUGUGUGUGUGUGUGUGUGUGUGUGUGUGUGUGUGUGUACACGCGUGUGAGCAUCAGACACGUACUAUUAAAUCCUCUAUGCUGGCCUGGACAGGACAGGGGAUAGGGGCGCGAUGCUGUGAAGGUGCACGUACGCCACUCGGCCUCGGCUCCAACACAGGCUCUGGCGUGACACGGUGGCGUUUAGGUCUUUCUCCAUACCAAAACCUGACCGAGGCAUUUUUCACAUAUCUGGAACAGAUCCCACAGGAGGCGAAUCGCAGCAGCACGCCAGGGCUGGAGUGCAAACGAGUUCACGAUGAAUGGCGCUGCGUCUUUACAUCGUGCCUUUUGAGAUCUCCCCAAGCAAGCAAGUGGAGCUCAAAAGACAGAGGCUUGAGCAUGUAGUGGAUGCAUUGCAACAAGUUACAACCGUGGCAUCUUUCUAAGUGCUAGGCAGCAUUUUGGAUGGAUAUCAAAGAGAGUCUCAGGGCUUAAUUGUCAGGCCCAUUGCUCAGACGUGGCAUGAAUGCUGAACGAUUUACAAGCGCAAAGAGCUGACUGAACAGCCCGGCACUCCCAUUCACAGGCACAGGAACAUUUUCAUGAAUGACACCCAGCCGCUGAAUGAGACUUCCUGUAUCACAGCUGAAACCAAUCCUCUCUGGCUUGGCUGGGCAAGGCCCUGGGUUCUGGGCUCGGCUGCAGCGUUGGAGUGGGUCCUGAAGCGCCAACUGUUAGGGCACGAGGAGAGAGGCUAUAGUCUCUAGACCCCUAAAGGAUUCACCAGUUUGUCUCCAUAGCGACAUACAUGACAUAUCUAGCCUAUUACAGUUUUGUUUGUGAUUGCUGACUCAUUUGUUUCUGAUUUUACUCAUUCCUGUUAAGCCAACAUAAGCCAAAUAAGACAGGAAACUUGUGGAUACACAUCUUACCCUUAUGUCAAAAAUGAUGCCUCAAUAUCAAAGUUUUAGUAAUAUUUUAAAUAUAACGUUUCAUGUUCAAAGCCUGCUGCUCUUAUGUUGUAAUGACAUCAAAUAGUAUGAUAUCCACCAGAAACUGCAUUCAAAACUCAAUAAUCCCUUUUCAAAAUCUAACUUCAUCGGAUUUUGCUGAAUGAAUGACACAUUUCAGAAAUUGUGUGUAUGAAAUGUUGUUAGCAAGCAGUUUGUGAUUUUAAAAAAUGUAUGUAGUUCAAAUAAAAAUUGCACUGUUAUGUAUA